GAGGAAAGAGGACGUGCAUAAAAAAUCGAGCCAGCAACUCUUUCGUCGCUCGUCUCGCACAGACCACGAUGCGCUAAAUCGCCGGCCUCCUCACCUUCUACCAGCUAUUCUUCUGGCGAUUUCGCUCGGACUCGGAUCCGCUGCGCGCGCAGAGCUCUCUCCUUCUCCCCAUCCCGCGGCGCCCAAAUCCUUCUUCUCCCCUCUCUGUUGUGGCCUGCGCGCGAAUAAUUCCCUUUCUCCCGCGUCCACUGCGCGUGAAAAUCCUUCCCCAACCUAGCUGCUCCUGCCCUCGACUCUUCCGAUUUAUUUCUGGAGCCCGCAAAACCAAGGUCUGUUCCUCUUCUCAUCCUUCCCCUUCCCAUCUCUCUUCCUCCGCUCUAUUCAUGUCCGUAUGAUUCAUAGCCAGGUACGUGAUUCAAAGAUCUGAAAUCCAUUUGUCUCUUGUGGUGAUGAGCGGCCGGACAAAACGAGCGAUGGCUCCGCCACCAGAUCAGACUGGAUCUGCUCCUUCAUAUCAUAUUGGAUCUGCUCCUGCUUCUGCGAAUCAAGUGCCUACUCCGGUUCCUGCAUUUCUUGGUGGUGGUUCUACUAUUCCUAGUACCACAGGUCAAGCAGUAUGGUGGCCUGGACCUUUGCCACAAGCCACAUCGUCCGGAGCCACAUCCACAGUUUGUGGUAUGAAUUACUAUCCACCUGGUUGUUUUAUGAGCUUUUUACAAUCUGGACAACCAUUCAUUCCUCAUGUUUCGGCAACAUGGCCACCUAUGGGAAAGGAAUCUCAAUUAGCACCACCCAAAAAUGAUUCAGGAAACCAAAAUGCUAAAAAGAGAUUGAAAGACAAAACUAUCAUCAACUUAGAUGAUGGAAACGAUGGUAGGACUGCAAAGCGUCUUGUAUUUGAACCAGAGGAGGACGUGAGGCUAUGCAUGGCUGAUUCACUCGAAUGACCCAAUCAAUGGGAAUUGCAAGAAAAAUGAGAGCUAUUGGGGUGAUGUACAUGAGUUGUACAAUAGCACUACACCUACAAACAGAAAAAGAGAGGUGAAACAUCUCAAAGAUCACUGGCAAAAAAUUAAGAGAUGAGUGGGAUUUUUUUGUGCAUGUUGGAAGAAGGCAACCUCAAUUUAUCUUAGCGGAUAUUCAGAUGACCAGCUAAAAGAAAUGGCUAAGCAAUUUUAUUUGGAUGACUAUCCUAAGGAAGGCCCAUUCACAGUUGAGCACUGCUGGAAGAUUCUUCGUGAUGAACCCAAGUGGCUUGCAGUUUUGGAAGAACUUGAAAAACCAAAUAAAAGGAGUUUGGAUGAAGACGAGGCAACUGACAUCUCAGGUGUAGGAGAAAAGGAACGUCCUAUAGGGACAAAACAAGCUAAGAAACAGCGCAAUGGUAAAGGAGGAGUCAAAGAUGAUGAUGUCAGUUUAGAUGAAGACUUGAAGAAAUUCAGUGACAUUGAAGCGGCCACAAAAAAAAGACAGGAAGACUUCUUGGAGGCGCAGGAACGCAUUACUGAUAAGAAGUUUGAAACAACAAGGUUUAGGAGGGAGACUGCUUUACUGGAAUCAUAUCAAAAACUUUUGUGUAUGGACACUAGGGAGAUGACAGAGGAUAUUAGAGCUCAGCAUGUCCUUGACCUGAAGAUGAUAAGGGAGAAAUUAGCCGGCAACGGUAACUAAGAAGAGCCUCUCUAUUCUGAUGCAAUGUUUCGUAGAAGAUUUCGGAUGAGAAGGCAUGUUUUCUUACGCAUUGUGGAUGCCCUAGCUGAUGGAAUUUACCCAGAAUGGGCAGCCUUUGUGAAGUCUAUAAAUUCACCUCAACUACAAAAACACAAGGUGUAUGCAGCAGAACAAGAAGGUGCAAGGAAAGAUGUGGAGCGUGCUUUUGGCGUUCUACAAGCUCGUUUCAAUAUUGUGCGUCGUCCAGCACGAUCUUGGAGCAUAAGGAUUAUUAGACAAAUCAUGAAAGCUUGUGUUAUUCUGCACAACAUGAUAGUGGAAGAUGAGGGAGAAAUGGCUGAGCAGUCUAUUGAUCUGAAUGCAAUUCCUGGAGCCUCAAUUGUUCUUCCUCCAGAAGUGCAAAAGGCCUCAAAUAGUAACCCAUGCUUUAAUGAUGCUCGACGCAGAAAUUCUGCUAUCCGUGCUCACUGAGUCCACGUUCAACUAAAAGAUGAUUUAAUUGAACACAUUUGGCAACGUUUUGGCCAUAGGGCUCCCCACUAGUCAUUUUUUGAUAAUAACCUCAUAAUUGUUGGUAUGAUGUUGAUUGGAAUUUCUAGCAUGCUAUGAUGGAGGUUGUUGGGUUAGAGAUGACUUUUGGCUUUUGGCGACUCUUCCUCAACGAUGCAGUUAGCUGUUCAAUUUGCUUUUGUGCCCUAAAAUAAUGAUGUAUGGCUUGAGUUAUGGUUAUCUAUCAGUGCAUUAUGUAGUAACGUAUGGACAUUUUAUUUUAUUUCUAUGUUUAAAAUGUUUGGUUGUACCCGUUAUUUAUCUUCAGUUGGUCAUGAAAUGAAAUGGCUUGGGUCAAGAUGUAUGCAACCAGUUGGUUAUGUUUAGUUGGUUAUGAAGCCUCCA